UACGUAGGGUCCGAGCGUUGUCCGGAAUUACUGGGCGUAAAGAGCUCGUAGGUGGUUUGUCGCGUUGUUCGUGAAAACUCACAGCUUAACUGUGGGCGUGCGGGCGAUACGGGCAGACUUGAGUACUGCAGGGGAGACUGGAAUUCCUGGUGUAGCGGUGGAAUGCGCAGAUAUCAGGAGGAACACCGGUGGCGAAGGCGGGUCUCUGGGCAGUAACUGACGCUAAGGAGCGAAAGCGUGGGGAGCGAACAGG
rnacentral:rRNA from 1 species